rnacentral:lncRNA from 1 species
CACAUUCUAGCCUAGAGGACAAAGGGAUGGCUGUGUUUCUGUCUUGAAGAAUUCUGGAGUACCAUGGGAGAGAAGGCCUAAGUCCCUGCAGUGGUUUGAAAGAAAAUAGCCCCCAAAAGGGAGUGGCACUAUGAGGAGGUGUGGCCUCACUGGAGGAAGUGUGUCACUGGGGGGGCGGGCUUUGAGGUCUCUCUUGGGCAAGCUUUCCCCAGUGUAAUUGUCAGCCGACUUCCUGGUGUCUGGAGAUGUAGAACUCUCAGCUCCUCCAGCACCACGUCUGUCUGCACACCGCCAUGCUCCCUGUCAUGAUGGUAAUGGACCGGACCUCUGAAACUACUUUUGUUUUGAGACUGAAUGUAUGGAAACCAUGCUUACUGUGAACUCGAGAGCCUCCUGAGAGCUGGGGUUACAGCAAUAGAAAGCAGACUGAGACGGGUCACUUGACAAGGCAGAUGAUGAGGAGGAGGGUACAAAGUCAUGCACAGGAUCAACACAGCAUCAUGGAGCACCCUGCUGUGGGUCAGGAUGGCAUUCAGCACCCAGAGAUGCACAAAGGAGCUGCCAGGAGAGUUGCUGAGAUCCUGCAGUUGCCGGAAGAGGAGGGUGCUGGCCAACCUGCAGGAUCUCAGCCAUCGUGACGAGGUCCCAUUCCUAGAGCCCUUGAUGCCGGACCACUCUGAGGAUGAAGACUUGAAGGAGACACACAGGUGUUGCCACGUCUCGGGCUGUCAUACCUGCAACUGUCUUCUUGGGGUGAUCAAAGAUUAUGGCUCUCGGGAGUCUCAGGAAGGAUGUCUUAUUCUGGAAAGUGAGCCCCACGGGCAGCGAAGAUCACCUUUGUCCUUGUCUGUGGAUCCCACUGGAAGAAUGCAUGACCCAGGACCUCUUCACUGGGUCCUUUCCAUAGCUAGCUCCGUCCAGUUCCUGAGUGCAGCUUGCCUGGCACGAGCGAGGGCCUGGAUUUGACCCCCAGCACUAGAAAAUCAAACCACCACACAAGCACAUAGGUAAAAACACAUUGCUUUGUUUAUUAUCCAGUGCCCACAUCUUAGCAACAGUAAUUCCUGCAAAUUUCCAUUUCUAAUGGUAUCAGAAACCAGUAUGUCAACUGUGGACAGUGGCUGGAAUCUCCCUACCCAGGGCAGG